AGAGUUUGCGGUGGAUGCCUAGGGUCCAAGAGCCGAAGAAGGGCGUGGUAAGACUGCGAUAUGCCUCGGUUAGCUGUCUAACAAGCUUAUCCGAGGAUUCCCGAAUGGGGAAACCCGCUUUGGUUAAUACCAAAGCAUUCUGUUUUUAACAGAAAGGUAAGUGGGAGAACUGAAACAUCUAAGUAUCCUGAGGAAAAUACAUCAAUUGAGAUUCCCUUAGUAGUGGCGAACGAAUGGGGAAUAGCCUAAACCAAAAUGGCUUAGUGGUUCGAGACCUAUGUCUUUUUGGGGUUAUAACGGUUGCUUGUCCCGACUCGAUAAGGACAAGGAGUAAGAAAUUUUUUACUUAGCGGAACGCGUCUGGAAUGGACGACCAUAGAAGGUGAUAGUCCUGUAUGCGAAAAGUAAAAAACUCCUGGCGAUUUGUUAAGUACCACGGGGCACGGGAAACCUUGUGGGAAUUUGGGGGGACCAUCCUCUAAGGCUAAAUACUCUUGGACACCGAUAGUGAACUAGUACCGUGAGGGAAAGGUGAAAAGUACCCCGGAAGGGGAGUGAAAUAGACCUGAAACCGCAAACUUACAAGCCGUGGAAGGCCCGAGUAAUCGUGGCUGACCGCGUGCCUUUUGAAGAAUGAGCCGGCGAGUUAAUUUAGGCAGCUAGGUUAAGGGAUAGGAGUUCCGAAGCCGUAGCGAAAGCAAGUCCGAAUAGGGCGUGAAUUUAGCAUUAGUUAAAUGUGUUGUCUGGAUUAGACCCGAAACCGGGUGAGCUACCCAUGGCCAGGUUGAAGUUUAGAUAAAAUCUGAAUGGAGGACCGAACCCGUUACCGGUACAAAGGUAUGGGAUGAGCUGUGGGUAGGGGUAAAAUGCCAAUCGAACCCGGAGAUAGCUGGUUCUCCCCGAAAUGUAUUUAGGUACAGCCUUAAGGUAGUCUUAGGGAGGUAGGGCUCUGGAUGAGUAAGGGGGCGUGAGCUUACUAAACUCAACCAAACCACAAAUGCCCUAAGAUGUUCCUUGGGAGUGAGACAGUGGGGGAUAAGCUCCAUUGUCGAGAGGGAAACAGCCCAGAUCGCAGGUUAAGGUCCCUAAGUGUAAGCUAAGUGGGAAAGGUAGUUGGAUUGCCCAGACAGCUAGGAGGUUGGCUUAGUGGCAGCCAUCCUUUAAAGAGUGCGUAACAGCUCACUAGUCGAGGAAUCCUGCACCGAAGAUGUAAUGGGGCUAGAGCUUACCACCGAUACCGCGACUUUCAUGAUUUUUCAUGGAGGGGUAGGGGAGCGUUGCCAGUGCGCUGAAGCUGUAGUGUAAGCUAUUGUGGAGCGCUGGGAAGUGAGAAUGCCGGCAUGAGUAGCAAUAAUCUUGGUGAGAAUCCAAGACACCGAAAACCCGAGGUUUCCUACGCAAUGUUGAUCAGCGUAGGGUUAGUCGGUCCUAAGCCGUAGCGUGCAAGCGAAGGCGAUGGAUGACAGGUCAAAAUUCCUGUACCACCAGUAUACCGUUUUAAGGUGAAGGGGGGACACGAGAAGGUAGACGUGGCGUACCUAUUGGACAUGGUACGUUUGCUUUUGAAGGUCAUGCCAACGUAGGCAAAUCCGCGUUGGCGUUAUGAACUGAGGAUUGCGAAAACUUUAGGGCAUUAGCCCUAGGGGAUUACGUUGAACCUAUAUCGGCUAGAAAAUCCUCGUCACUAGGGAUACGGGUGACCGUACCGAUAACCGACACAGGUGGGUGGGGGUAAGAGCCCCAAGGUGUACGUGAGAAACCUCGUUAAGGAACUCGACAACUUGGCCCUGUAACUUUGGGAUAAAGGGUGCCCACGAGGUGAACUCUAUUUACUAGAGGGAUGCCUUUGUGGGUCGCAGCGAAGAGGCUCGGGCGACUGUUUAUCAAAAACAUAGGUCUCUGCUAAGCCGAAAGGCGAUGUAUAGGGGCUGAUGCCUGCCCAGUGCCGGAAGGUUAAGGCGACUUGUUCGGUGUGUUUCGGCAUACCAAAGCUCGUUUCCGAAGCCCCGGUGAACGGCGGCCGUAACUAUAACGGUCCUAAGGUAGCGAAAUCCCUUGUCGGGUAAGUUCCGACCCGCACGAAUGGCAUAACGACCUGAGCGUUGUCUCAACGAGGUACACGGUGAAAUUGCAUGGCCAGUAAAGAUGCUGGCUACCCGCAGCAGGACAAAAAGACCCCGUGGAGCUUUACUGUAGCUUGGCAGUGAGUCGGGUUUAUGGUUGUGUAGGAUAGGCGGGAGACAGUGAAGGUUCAACGCCAGUUGGGCUGGAGUCAACCUUGAAAUACCGCUCUUCUAUUGAUUUGAUUCUAACUUUAUGUAAUUAGAGGACCCUGCCAGGUGGGCAGUUUGACUGGGGCGGCCGCCUCCUAAAGAGUAACGGAGGCGUCCAAAGGUUCCCUCAAGGUGGAUGGAAAUCACCUGUAGAGUGCAUUGGCAUAAGGGAGCUUGACUGUGAGACUUACAAGUCGAGCAGGGACGAAAGUCGGGCAAAGUGAUCCCACGGU
rnacentral:rRNA from 1 species